rnacentral:rRNA from 1 species
UGCAAGUCGAGGGGCAGCAUGGUCUUAGCUUGCUAAGACUGAUGGCGACCGGCGCACGGGUGCGUAACGCGUAUGCAACUUGCCUCACAGAGGGGGAUAACCCGUCGAAAGACGGACUAAUACCGCGUACACUCUAUGUUGGGCAUCCAAUGUAGAGGAAAUGAAAUUCGCUGUGAGAUAGGCAUGCGUCCCAUUAGCUAGUUGGUGAGGUAACGGCUCACCAAGGCGACGAUGGGUAGGGGAACUGAGAGGUUGAACCCCCACACUGGUACUGAGACACGGACCAGACUCCUACGGGAGGCAGCAGUGAGGAAUAUUGGUCAAUGGGCGAGAGCCUAAACCAGCCAAGUCGCGUGAAGGAUGACUGUCUUAUGGAUUGUAAACUUCUUUUAUACGGGAAUAACAAGAGUCACGUGUGACUCCCUGCAUGUACCGUAUGAAUAAGCAUCGGCUAACUCCGUGCCAGCAGCCGCGGUAAUACGGAGGAUGCGAGCGUUAUCCGGAUUUAUUGGGUUUAAAGGGUGCGUAGGCGGCCUGUUAAGUCAGCGGUGAAAUCUAGGAGCUUAACUCCUAAAUUGCCAUUGAUACUGGCGGGCUUGAGUGUAGAUGAGGUAGGCGGAAUGCGUGGUGUAGCGGUGGAAUGCAUAGAUAUCACGCAGAACUCCGAUUGCGAAGGCAGCUUACUAAGGUACAACUGACGCUGAAGCACGAAAGCGUGGGUAUCAAACAGGAUUAGAUACCCUGGUAGUCCACGCAGUAAACGAUGAUAACUGGGCGUAUGCGAUAUACAGUAUGCUCCUAAGCGAAAGCGUUAAGUUAUCCACCUGGGGAGUACGCCGGCAACGGUGAAACUCAAAGGAAUUGACGGGGGCCCGCACAAGCGGAGGAACAUGUGGUUUAAUUCGAUGAUACGCGAGGA